rnacentral:rRNA from 1 species
AAAGACUAAGCCAUGCAUGUCUAAGUAUAAACACCUUUAUACUGCGAAACUGCGAACGGCUCAUUAUAUCAGUUAUAAUCUACUUGAUCGUAUCCUCUUACUUGGAUAACCGUAGUAAUUCUAGAGCUAAUACAUGCAAAAAUUCCCGACUGGUGACGGAAGGGUAGUAUUUAUUAGGUCCAAAAUCAAUGCUGGUCAUUCGGUCAGGAAAAAUUGAUGAUUCAUAAUAACUAAACGAAGCGCAGGGCUCGUCCCGGCGCUGAUGCAAACGAGUUUCUGCCCUAUCAACUUUCGAUGGUAGUAUAGGGGACUACCAUGGUCG